rnacentral:rRNA from 1 species
GUCCUUUUGUGUUUUAUUUAAGGUCUAGUCUGCCCACUGAAUUUAAAUUUUAAAUGGCCGCAGUAUUUUGACUGUGCAAAGGUAGCAUAAUCAUUAGUUUUUUAAUUAAAAGCUUGUAUGAAAGGCUGGACGAGGUAAAAUCUGUCUCUAUGUAAAUUAAAAUAGAAUUUAACUUUUAAGUUAAAAGGCUUAAAUAUUAUUAAAAGACGAGAAGACCCUAUAGAUCUUUAUAUAUUAUUAAAUAGAAUUAAUUUAGAAAUAUUUAUGUUUUAUUUAUUUAAAGUAUUUUAUUGGGGUAAUAGAAAGAUUGAAUUAAUUCUUUUUUACGAUAAACAUUAAUUUAUGAGUGUUAAUGAUCCAAUUUUAUUGAUUAUAAGAUUAAGUUACCUUAGGGAUAACAGCGUAAUUUUUUUAGAGAGUUCAUAUCGAUAAAAAAGCUUGCGACCUCGAUGUUGGAUUAAAGAUUAUUUUAGGUGUAGAAGCUUAAUAAUUUUGGUCUGUUCGACCAUUAAAUCUUUAC